UACAUGGGGUGCAAACGUUGCUCGGAAUUAUUGGGCGUAAAGCGCACGUAGGCGGUUUGUUAAGUCGGGUGUGAAAUUUCGAGGCUUAACCUCGAAACUGCAUUCGAUACUGCGGUGCUUGAGGACUGGAGAGGAGACUGGAAUUCAUGGUGUAGCAGUGAAAUGCGUAGAGAUCAUGAGGAAGACCAGUGGCGAAGGCGGGUCUCUGGACAGUUCCUGACACUGAGACACGAAGGCCAGGGGAGCAAACGGG
rnacentral:rRNA from 1 species